rnacentral:rRNA from 1 species
AAGAAAUUUAAUAAUUUUGAAAAUGGAUUUUUUUGUUUUGGCAGGAGCAUGAGAGCUUUUACUGGGCAAGAAGACAAGAGAUGGAGAGUCCAGUCGGGCCUGCGCUUAAGUGCGCGGUCUUGCUUGGCUUGUAAGUUUCUUUCUUGCUAUUCCAAACGGUGAGAGAUUUCUGUGCUAUUGUUAUAGGACAAUUAAAACCGUUUCAAUACAACACACUGUGGAGUUUUCAUAUCUUUGCAACUUUUUCUUUGGGCAUUCGAGCAAUCGAGGCCCAGAGGUAACAAACACAAACAAUUUUAUUUAUUCAUUAAAUUUUUGUCAAAAACAAGAAUUUUCGUAACUGGAAAUUUUAAAAAUAUUAA